UAAGGAAUAUUGGUCAAUGGACGCAAGUCUGAACCAGCCAUGCCGCGUGAAGGAGGAAGGUCCUCUGGAUUGUAAACUUCUUUUAUCUGGGACGAAAACGGGAUUUUUAUCUCAAUUGACGGUACCAGAGGAAUAAGCACCGGCUAACUCCGUGCCAGCAGCCGCGGUAAUACGGAGGGUGCGAGCGUUAUCCGGAUUUACUGGGUUUAAAGGGUGCGUAGGUGGGCUUAUAAGUCAGUGGUGAAAUCUCCGAGCUUAACUUGGAAACUGCCGUUGAUACUAUAGGUCUUGAAUUAUCUGGAGGUAAGCGGAAUAUGUCAUGUAGCGGUGAAAUGCUUAGAUAUGACAUAGAACACCAAUUGCGAAGGCAGCUUACUACAUAUAAAUUGACGCUGAGGCACGAAAGCGUGGGGAUCAAAC
rnacentral:rRNA from 1 species